AACGAACGCUGGCGGCAUGCCUAACACAUGCAAGUCGAACGAUCCCUUCGGGGAUAGUGGCGCACGGGUGCGUAACGCGUGGGAACCUGCCCUUAGGUUCGGAAUAACGUCGGGAAACUGACGCUAAUACCGGAUAAUGUCGAAAGACCAAAGAUUUAUCGCCUUUGGAUGGGCCCGCGUAGGAUUAGCUAGUUGGUGAGGUAAUGGCUCACCAAGGCGACGAUCCUUAGCUGGUCUUAGAGGAUGAUCAGCCACACUGGGACUGAGACACGGCCCAGACUCCUACGGGAGGCAGCAGUGGGGAAUAUUGGACAAUGGGCGCAAGCCUGAUCCAGCAAUGCCGCGUGAGUGAUGAAGGCCUUAGGGUUGUAAAGCUCUUUUACCCGGGAUGAUAAUGACAGUACCGGGAGAAUAAGCCCCGGCUAACUCCGUGCCAGCCGCCGCGGUAA
rnacentral:rRNA from 1 species